rnacentral:rRNA from 1 species
GUAAACGGCGGCCGUAACUAUAACGGUCCUAAGGUAGCGAAAUUCCUUGUCGGGUAAGUUCCGACCUGCACGAAUGGCGUAAUGAUGGCCAGGCUGUCUCCACCCGAGACUCAGUGAAAUUGAACUCGCUGUGAAGAUGCAGUGUACCCGCGGCAAGACGGAAAGACCCCGUGAACCUUUACUAUAGCUUGACACUGAACAUUGAGCCUUGAUGUGUAGGAUAGGUGGGAGGCUUUGAAGUGUGGACGCCAGUCUGCAUGGAGCCGACCUUGAAAUACCACCCUUUAAUGUUUGAUGUUCUAACGUGGACCCGUAAUCCGGGUUGCGGACAGUGUCUGGUGGGUAGUUUGACUGGGGCGGUCUCCUCCUAAAGAGUAACGGAGGAGCACGAAGGUUGGCUAAUCCUGGUCGGACAUCAGGAGGUUAGUGCAAUGGCAUAAGCCAGCUUGACUGCGAGCGUGACGGCGCGAGCAGGUGCGAAAGCAGGUCAUAGUGAUCCGGUGGUUCUGAAUGGAAGGGCCAUCGCUCAACGGAUAAAAGGUACUCCGGGGAUAACAGGCUGAUACCGCCCAAGAGUUCAUAUCGACGGCGGUGUUUGGCACCUCGAUGUCGGCUCAUCACAUCCUGGGGCUGAAGUAGGUCCCAAGGGUAUGGCUGUUCGCCAUUUAAAGUGGUACGCGAGCUGGGUUUAGAACGUCGUGAGACAGUUCGGUCCCUAUCUGCCGUGGGCG